CUUCAUCCAUGUGUGUUGGAGCCAACAAAAGGCUCCAGAGCUGCUCUUGUGCCUUGUCCCACAUAACGCUUUCAUUUUAAGACCAAGCCCCAGUAUUAAAAGUAAACAUCAACACUCUGAGUGAUUCUUGGCCAUAGCAAGGCUCCCCAGCAUCAUUGCAGGAAAGAAAUCUCAACAAGGGCCUCUCAGUUAACUACACAGCCUCCAUCCCAGCAGCCCUGUUCAAGCACAGCCCCUGCAGACGGGGGCACCACAGCUUUUCUCUGUGGCAGAGGAAAGCUAUGGAUUUAUUGUUUCACCAUCAGGAAAUCGCGCUAGUUUGUUGUUGUUGUUGUUGUGUUUUGUUUUGUUUUUGGAGACAGGGUCUUACUGUGUAGUCCUGGCUGUUCUGGAACUCACUCUGUAGACCAGCCUGGCCUCGAACUUACAAAGAUCUGCCGGCCUCUACCUCCCCAGUGCUAGGGAUCAAAGGCAUGUGACACCACCACCCGGCCUGCUCUAGUUGUGAAGGGGAGUAACUAACUAACCGUACAGAUAGCCCGACCACCAGUUCUACUUUCGAAGAGGUGAAAAAUAAUCCCAUUAAAAUACUGUGUUUCGCAUUCUCUGGAUAGCUGAGCUUCCUGACCGACAUUCCUCCCGGAGCUGGGGAGGAAGCUUGACUCAGCUCAGCUCUGCUUGGAGUCCUGAGGAACAGGCUAAAUGCAUGGUGGAUCAGGGCAGCAUUCCGGAGUCAGGGGCCACGGGGCAGGUUCCCCCCAGCUCGGGGUCACAGGACAGAAGGAGAGAGGAAAAGAGUGUGGAAAGUCGGACUGCAACUGACUGCAUGCUGACGUCAUUGUCCAGGCCAGCCGCAGCUGCUCCUUCCUGGAAAGAGGCUCGAAGGCCCCAGGACAAAAAGAUGUGAGGGGGAAUUACUUGAAGUGGGACACAAACAGAAACCAAAGGCAAAGCAAAAACUUUCACAUGCUGCUCAGGGCAAUCUGCUCGUGCAAAAUCGAAUCAGUGAAGCCAAUGCCAUGUCUUUGCUGCCCGCUACAACUUUAAAGUGUAUUUCACAGAGUUUUGUUUUUGGUUUUCCCCCUCAGCGAUGUCAUUUGGAGAAUGUUCAAAAAUGGCAAAGCAAAGAGAAGAGACACAUUAAAGAUUUCUGGAAAACGACUUUUAACACACUUUAGGCCCAUCGCUAGCUAUUGCAAAUGUAUUCAGCUCUUCCCUGAAAGGCAUUAGCAGUGAGGAAUAAAAUCAAGUCCUGCCAGGAAUCUCUCACGAUCCCUCCCACGCAUAGUUGAUUAAUGGACUCUAGUUAGGCUGGGUUUUAAUAUGCUUUGCUAUCCGGUGGCACAUGGUCGGGGAGCAGAGAGGCCGAGUCCUGGAAAAGGCACGUGUGCAGAGCACAUGACCUUGGGCGGAGUUCUGAGUGGGAUGAAUCCAGGGACUUUGAUGGUGGACACAAUGAAAGAGACAAUCAAUCUCUACAGAUCUGCUAUGGAAGAAAAACCACAGCCCAUCCGCAUACCCCAGAGGACCCAGGGAGGAGCAAAACAGAAACCGGAUCUCCAUAGGAAGCGGUGUUACCAGAACGCCUGGGGCCGCGGUAGAAUUCCUGACCUUGCCAUAUCUCUAGCACACUCUGGGUGCCAGUGGCUGGGAAGGGGGUGGAAAGAACUCAAGCGGAUGGCAGAACCACGUUUGAUGUACGGUGACACUAGCUGAUGUCAAGUUGACAAGACAACAACAAACCUAACGAGCAUAGCACAGAUGGAUGCAAAUGGAAGCUGGAAGGUCAUUAGGAGAAGUUCCUGCCCCCCAUGACCUACUGCUAGAAGAGCUGCUUCCGGUCUAUAAAGCAAGCAGCAGGUGCCCAGGACUUACUGCUGAGCCCCUUGCAGGCUAAGCUAGACAAAGGGUCCUGAUUUCCCAGGAAGUGUCUGUUGGAGUGGGUACAGUACGGCUGUGGAAACACAAAGGAGCUGCCUCUCUCCAUCCCGAAGCGGUAAUAAGUUCUCUACCCACGAAGGGACACACUUGCUCGGGAUAGAGCAGGAAAGAUCCCGUCAUCAACAAGGCAAAGCACAAGGUGCUUGGGCUUCACUUCUAGACUUAAUCUCCCUCCCAUGCAGAUGUGCUGAACCUUCCAGAAACUGGUCUUUGUCGCCCCAAGCAAACAGCCACAUAGAAAAUCUGUGAGUCAGUCAGCCUGUUCCUGUUGGUCCACCCAGGCUGGAACACACUAAAAGCCCAAACAAAACAAGUGUGGCUCUUACAAGCAGGAGGACGAUAAGGGAUCCGGUUAGAGGCUUUGCCCAGUGACCCACUGGCUGUUCAUUCUGUGAAUUCUGCCCAGGAAUUUACAAGGAAUCCAAGGUCUGUGAUUGGGAAACUGGGAAGAGAGCCAUCAGGCCGAGUUGGCAGUGAAAAGCUGGGUGAAACAGCGGAUAUCUGGUAAGAACUGGGCUGAGUUUUAUCCACACUUACUCCCUCCCCUCAGAAGUGCAAAGGAAGACUACACCGCCUUAUCCCGUUGCAAAAAUGAAAAAUCAUUUCUUAUAUGGAACUGAACACUGAGUCCUAGAGACAGGGAGGUAGACCCACUGCCAGAAAUGACAUCAUUAGGUAGAACAAGCCAAGGCCUUGUGACUCCAACAAUGGCUCCCCCGUCCAAUGUCACCACAUCAACACAGCCUCCGGAAGAUCUUGGCCCCUGCAGGUCUGGUGCCUGUCUGUUCCCACAAUGCUUUUCUGCAGACAUUUACCACUCUCUCCGGUCAAAGGCAUCUAAGCACUUGUCAAGGUGUCCUGAGAUGGAUUCUCUCUGCAGUUACUUGCUCACUUUUCCUGAAGGGGAAAGUGACCUCCUCAUGGCCUCGCUUGUGGAUCCCUAGCCCCUUGUGGGGUGGUUCUGAGUAUCUGAAGCAGCCGCUUUGGAGAUGGGUGGUCCUGAGUUCAAGACAUACUUUUUAAUCUGUGUAAUCUUAGACAAAUUAUUUAAUAUCUCUUUGCCACAGAUUCCCCCAAGUUUUAAAUGAGAACAGAAACCAUUUCCCAGCACAGUCAGGAAGAUUAAUGGAUCAUUAGUAUCCAGCAAGGGGCCUGAAUGUGGUAACAGCAGAAUAAAGCUGUGACUGUCUCGGGAACCCCAUUACUCACCUGCCCUGGAUUGUGGCAGGGAAGAAUAGUUUCAUAGAUGGAGAAGACCCCUGUCCCCCCAAAGAAAGUGUGACUCACAGAGCAGCUUUCUGCCUUGCUGCAAACCACCCACCCACAGUCCCCUCUCCUUGAUGUCACCACUAUUAGACUGUUCUCCCAUUACACUAGAAGAGAGGGUUGAGGGCCAGCCUCUGCCCAGAAUGGGGACAUCCCAAGGCAAACCAGAAAGCAAAGGAAGCUGAAGGAGGCAGCUUAGAUGUGCCCUCUCUCGGGAGAAGCAGCCAUAAAAGAGCUCUGGCUGCUGCUUCCCUCUUGAUAAAUGCCCUCUGCUUCUCCAGCCAGAGCGACUGCCAGGAGUCAGCCUUGGUUGAAGUUGUAUGUUUUCCCCUGAGCAGUGACCUCAGUGCAGUCUUUCUAGGGAUUCAUAAUCCCUGGGAAUGCUGACAGCCCCAAAGUCACUGCCUCCUCCCAACUCUGCUCUUCUGGUGACAAGGAGGCCUCCAGCUCCUCAGUGGGAUAGACUCCAGGACUGCAGGGAUGGCUUCUCUGUCACUGUAACUCACAGCUUCCUGAAUGCUGAUGGACCUACCAGGCCACUGGGCACCCAGGGCUAAGCCUUUGCUGCUCACCUUCAGGUUCAUUGGUUCUCAGAACAGGGAAAGGAAGGGCUGAUGGGGACCCACCUGUGUGACACUCUGAGGUGAGUUCAGGGGGACUAAGCCGACUGGUACACAUGUAACCACAAGCCAGGCUUUGCGAGUGAAGGAUGCUCCCCAGCUAUGUGAUUGUGUCAUUUUUAUCUCUGGUCCUAUGGAGAACUGGGACUUGGUAGGUGCUGGGAGGGAGCAGAAACUUCAGGGCGCACAUGAGCAUAGUCUAGAAUUCUCUAGGAAGGAGGAAGAGGACAGAAUGGCUAGCUAGCACAAGUGCCUGAGGGACAGUGAAAUUGGUGGUGAUCAUUACUGCAACUUUGAGCUAAACUUGGGGUUGUCUGGGAGGUAAUCAGAGAAAUAGGAGGCUUGGGGUUACCUUGCACUAGUUGCAAGCAGGCCAUCCAUUGGGCUCUCGUGAAUUCAAGCCCCUCAGCCUUGUCUUAGCUGGGAAGCCUGGUUAUUGGCUACCAGUCCAGUGACAUGGGAAGAGCACAUUGAUAUUUUGAGGGACAGACCUGCAUCCUGUUACUUGCCUUCCAAUAUGAGGAGCCCUGACCCACCCUACCCCCCAAUCUGACCCAGCUAUCAGGUUUUAGGUUUUAGGACAACUGUUCCUAGUGCUAACCCCAGAAGAAGAGCCAGCUCCAAUCUGCCCCCCUUCCUUACACACUCAGGAUAUAUAUAUAUAUAUAUAUAUAUAUAUAUUUAUAUAUAUAUAUAUAUAUGGUGUGCUUAUUUGAGGCUCCCUGAUGCCCUAAAGCACACCUUUUUAGGCGACAGUCAUCUUGUCAAAUACAAAGCCUAAACACUCAUGAUCUGGAUGGUUCUGACUUGAAUGGGAGCCUUAGUGUCUCCCUGUGUCCUGGGACGCUGAGCUCUGUCUCUGACCCUGUAGCCUUGAGGUGAGGAUUUUGCCUGUUAGGGUCUGAGGACUUCUCAAAGCUGAAGUUGAUCUUCUAUGUGGGUCACCAGAGUAGAUGGCAUCCUCUAGUCACUCUUUGCAAGGACAAUGUCUAGCAAGUGCUCUCUGCUCUGGCCCUGCCCUCAGUUCCUUCUUGUAAUGCCCUGGCAAUUAUUAUUGUGAGCCACAGAUGACACCUGUGGUGGCUCAGAGGGGCUGAGUCUGCACAUGUCUCUUGAGGGCUGUGUGUGGCUUGUGAUGGAGGCAGCUAGUGAGAAGUUCCCUGUGCCCUGUGACUAAGCUCAGAAAGGCAAUGAAGGCUUAGCUGGCUGCUUGUGUCCUGACUGGAGACCGAGGGUUCAGUGCAAUGUAACUCAGCUUAGGGGUUUCUUGAGUCCCUACAAGAACAGUCCGUAGGCUGAGUGUAGAUAAAACCAGAAGCAAAUGGCCUCAAAGAGAUCACAGUGAACGCUUCAGGUAGAAGACAGCAACAGAGGAGAUGUUGACAAGAGGCUUUCCCAUGAACCCCGCCCUCUGCGAAAUAUCUUUCCUUCACCUCUUCCCCAGAUUAACUUUCCUGGAUCCUCCCUAGGCUCUCACCUCAGUGACAUUUCCUUGAAGGAGGUUUCCCUGCUUGGAGUGGCUCGGGUAAUUCCCUGGUUAUACUCUCUGUCUGGGCUACGGGUUCCACUCCUCAGCAGCUCAUGUCCCUGAUAAAAUGUGCAGUUCUCUGUGUGGUUACUUGAUUACUUUAUGUCCCCUGGCUAGGCUGAUUAGAAGCUCCAUCAUGUUGAGUACCAGGUAUAGGAAGAACACUAUGAAGACCCACUGGGAAAACACAUGGUAAGGAAGGGAAUACAGGGCUAGAUGGGCAACUAACAGCCUCUACCAGGCUGGGACCUGGCAGAAACGGAAGAGGAGGGAAGGGUGUUCUGGAGAAGCUAGUGGGUUAGGAGAAGCUAGGUGUUGGCAAGUGGAAAUGGGCAAGGUAUUCCUAGUGGAGUGAGUGCUGAUGGCACUAAAGGUAGAGACAGAGAUACAGCCCCACCGUCACCUGCUGCGGCUUGAGGAGUUCCUUUAAUAUUUUAGGGACCUCAGCUCAGGUAAAACUGGACGAUCAGUUUCAAAGCAGAAAAGAAUUUCAGGACCAGCCAGUAUGAAGCGUAGUAGGAGUUUAUUAAAACUAGGAAGGUGGUUGUGGUGGUCAAGCCUUUAAUCUUGACUCUUGGGAGGCAGAGGCAGGAGAGUCUCUGUGAAUUUUACAGCCCAGCCUAGUCUACAUAGGAAGUUCCACUCUAGCCAGAGGUACACAGUGAGACUCUGUCUCAAAGAAAAUAAACAAAUAAAAAAGAAAAUAGAAAAAAAAGGCAAUUAGGGAGAGGGGAAAGGGGCCUACAUCAUGGCUGUGAACUUCUCAAAGAAAAGUUGUAGUUUACUAGAAGGUAUUUUAAUAGAAUAUGUUUUACUUAUUCUUUGAUAAUUGCAUAGGUAUAAACAAUGUAUCUUUGUGCAUCCCUGACUCCCCAUUCCCACUCCCCCAGGAGCACCCAACAUGUCACUCUCCUGUCUGUAUGUCUUUCCUUUCUUUUUAACAACCCACCAAAUCCCAUUAGCAUUGGAGUUGGAAUGGUGAGUGAUCUUGUUGGCUUGAUCUUGUCCAGAUCUUGUGCAGCUAACCGAUUCUGCAGUGAGUUCAUGGGUAUAGUGGCUACAUUGUGUCCCAAAGACAGCUUUUCAUAGCCAUCUUCCUCAUCCUCUGGCUCUUACCUUCUUUCCACCCUUCUUCAAUGUUCCCCGAGUCUCAUGGUGGUGGGAAGGUGUUUGAUAUAGAUGUCCCAUUUAGGAAUAAGCCUUCAGUAGACAUAUACUCUCAGCACUUUGACCAGUUAACUGCCGACCACUACAGAGAGAAGCUUCUCGAAUUAAGGUUGAGGGCAGUACUGUGUGUAUAAACAUAAACAUUUAGAAAGUGGUUGACAAUUGUGUCCAUUUAGAAAAAAAUGACAGUAAUGGGUUCCUCCCUAGGGCCUGUAAUUUCUUGAGCCACAGGCUUUUGGCCAGGUUAAUGGUACCAGGCUUGAAUUCCUUCCUGAGGAGCAAGCCUUAAAUCCAAAUCAGAGGCAGUUGUUACCUCUACAGCAUUCAUGCCACAACUGCCUCAGUUGGAACAUCUUGUCUGGCAUUAUAUGUAACAUGCAGUGUUGGCUACAGGAUGCCACUGAUGUCUUUUCUCCCACAGUAGCCUUCAGAGCACCUUUUAUCACUAGGAAAGCUAGUCAUUAGGGGGAAAGUUUCAGGUCACUUCCAGCUUAAUUUAUCUAUGUUAAAAGAUCUCUAACAUAGAUUUUAAGCCUGGUUAACCAAGAGAGGUGUCCUGGGAAAGAAUAAGAUACAUCCAAGAGCACUCACUAUGGAGCUCCUCAGACACAACUAAAUGCCUCUUGGCAUUAGCCAUGUACACCAUUUUGCUGGCUCUCAAGUUACAUCUGAAAAUGUUCUUGUCCUACUCUUGUGAUAAGUGAGAUUACAGGGUGACUCUAACUCUUGGAUGGGACCGUAAUCUGACAGUGUGAAACCAGGAGCCACUCGGGUUAGGUGGAAGUUUCCGACACAUCUUUUACUGUAAAUAGGCUUUCUCGUGAGGUUCCUGGAAAAUUGUUGGUCCACAGCUGGCUUCUGAAAGGAGAACGGCCUUGUGAAUGAGAAUUCCUGGAAAGAAACUGUUUACCCUGGCUGAUUAACUAAUUAAAACUUCAAAGACAUGGAGAGGUUGGAAUCUUGUUGUUUCAACCCUAAUUACAAUUUAUGUGCUUAUCAGCGUAAUAAACAGCCAUUCCUAACCCUGGCUGCACCAGACCUAAUGUCCUACUAUUAGCCGGGCCUGAUAGCCUAUGAACAGGUUAAAACCUUUGCAAUAUAGUAACUUGACAGAACUCUGUUCUCCACUAAUCAAGGGCUAAGAAUGCUAUCAGAUAACAUCUAUUGCCUACAGCUGCAAUCUCCCCACUGUUCUCUGCCUACUUAAUGUUUCAACAGAUGCAUUUUAAAACCACCUUGAUUUAUAAUUUUCUUUGUGCUGUGACUAUAAAAGCUCCAUGAAACUGUUUCCACACUGGGGCAUGGAACCUGUGGUAACCCAGCUCUGUGUUCUGGACCACAGUCACUCAUGCUUUUACUCCAGAAUAGGCUCUCUUAUUCCCUUUGAGUUGAGAAAUGUUGUUUUGGCUGGACAGUUUAAGCAAGUGUUAACUGUGUUGGGAUUCUUGACACUCACCUGCUGAGAGUCUUCAAUCAGACUCUAAGGUAAUGGCUACGUUCCCUUCCAGGUCCCCACAAUUUUCCCUUCUAUCCCAUCACAGCAGGAGCUCUGUAGCACAGGUUAGGAGCAGAUUGAGAAAUGAGAUCUAGGGCAGCCAGCUGAAUGCUGGGGAUGUGACCUUGGGAUGUUCCUGUGAGCCUGAAAGAGGCUGGCCCCAGAAAGGGCUUAGUGAUGAUCACAGCCCAGGAAGGAACUUAGGAGUCAUGGUCUGUAGCAAUGGGGACAAAGCCCAGAGCAGGAGGACAAGGGCAUUCAGUCAAGGACACAGCACCAGCCAUUCCUCAGCUACAAUGGGAGGAGCGCUGGCACCAGUGGCCCAAGUCAAGGCUCCCUGAAAGCAGCUGUGUGGCCUCCAUGGCUUGCAGGUUGGGCAGUAGGACAGUGUCCCUCUGAUGUGCCUCAAGUGUGAAUUUCACCCUGUCUGCUGCAGUGAUCUCUCUCUUUCCUCCUUCACCUGGUCUUUGGGAAGGUGGAGGCAUCCAGGUGCCCUGCAUGGCAGAUGCGUGUGAUACAAGGUGUCCUGGACAUUCUCUACUUGGUCCUCAGGCCCACCCUCCACCUUUCUCCACCCUUCCCUGUGCCUUGGGAGGAGAUUCUUUGGGCUGUCAGCCUAGCUGACUCACCUUUGGCUUCCAUUGGGUCCAGCUGUAUGGCAUAAUAAAAACCUUAUCGGGUCUUUGUCUCCAGGUUGCUGGCACCUUGGGAUUUCCUGUGUGAUAAGAAAUGCUUUGUUAUGCAUAAUGACUUUUUAAAAAAAAUGUCACCAGAGUUCAUGCUAAUGAGAUGACUCAAUAUAGGGCCCUGUUUAGCUUCCCAGAAGGACUGGUCACCAGAACAGACUGAACGAAUCCUUCAAGAGUCAGAGACUUUAGCCCCACCCUAACCUCCACAGUGGGAAAGGACUAGAGAUAGGGUUGUAGAGGAGAUCUAGUGAGAUGGUGUGUCCAGAGAAGGUGUGAAAGCCAUGGAAGUUCUGUACCACCCUACACACACACACACACACACACACACACACACACACACACCACCUGCCAGGCAAGUCUAUUCCAGGUUCUUAUGCUGGCUAGUUUCUUCUUAAGAGACUACACUUCCAAACUUCCCUUGUAGCCAGACCAAAAUACUCUGGAAAGGAGGGAAAAUGGUAUGGUAGUAGUUUCCUCCCCUAUAAGGGGUCUCACCUUCUUUUAUAGGCAUUUUUUAUCCACACCCAGGGGUGACCAGAUGUUCCUUACCUUGAACAUGGUCCCGAGUAUAUAAAGUUGGACGGUGCUUUCUUCCUGCCCUUUCUGUCUUUCUUUAAGCCCACAUGCCCCAUGAAAUCUAACAAUGCUCUACAGCUAACUGCUGACCACGGGUGUCUCCUGAGUGCCAUAACCUGUUCUAGUGAAUUAUCAAAACCAUGAAGAGAUUAUGUGAACUCCAGAUAGUUAGGGAGCCUGCCUAGACCUUGGGCCUGCCAUCUGAAGAGAGGGCACUCUUGGGACUCUGGACAAACUCUGAAGUUAGUGUUGAGGCAGGAUAGAAAGGGAAGUCACGGGGAGAUGGGAAUGGGGAGCCCCUCGUUGCAGGCUAGCUAAUGCUUGUGGCCAGCUGAGAAUCAAGAAUUCCAGCACGAUGAACAUUUACUUUGAAGGUUCCUGGACCUAGGGGCAAUAUUUUAUGUAGAAAUAUUUUCAAAUGAGAGUGCUAAAAUAACAAUGAACCAAGAUUAACGCCCUGUAUGUAUGACUUCAGGUAUGGCCUCACUCCUCUCCCAGACAUUUUCUGGGAAUCUCACAAAUAAGACUGAGGUAGAAAAAUUUCAGAGGACAAAAGAAAUGAGUCCCUGACCCAAGAAUGCCAGGAGAAAAGCAAGAAUUCUAGCAUCAACUGCUUACUGCCUUUCUGCCUUCCCAGUUGUAAACCUGCAAUUUUCUAAGCAUCUCACCAGAAAACCCGCUUGCAGGAAGAUGUGUACUAACCCCAUUGUGCAAUCAAAAUUCACCUUAUUGAAUUGUGGUUCCCACCAGGACAUCUCUGGAACCCCUCACUAUCAAGGCAUAGAAAACCAGUUUCUUAGAAAUCUUUUAAGAUGUAACUUGAGAGCCACCAGAAUGGUACAUAUGGCUAAUGCUGAGAUGGUCAAUUAUACCUCUCUCUCUCCAUGUGCUAUGUCUUACUUUCUCCUAUAUCUCUUAGGGAGCACAGACCCACACUUAGGUGUAUGUACUUCUUUUCUGAGCACGUUUAAGUCUAUAUUAAGGUUGGGUUUUUUGCAUUUAAACAAUUUGUGUGUGUGUACACAUGUGCACCAGUACAUUCUUGUGUGUGUGUGUGUGUGUGUGUGUGUGUGUGUGUGACACAGCAUGCCUGUGGAGGUGAGAAGACAGGACAGCUUGGUUGUGGGUACAGCACUCACGCUAAUGAGUCAGCAGCUGUGGUAUGAGGACACACGUGCAGAGUCCCACCUAGGGCAAUCAUCCUGGCAAUCAGGCUGGAUGGCUGUUUGCCACCUGGUGACUCUGGGAACAGUUUAUUGACCAGCCCUUUUUCUGAGAAGCAAAGAAGUUAUAGUUGGGGAGGGAACCAGCUAUUCAAAGUGACUCCUUUUGGUGGAAUGGGAUCUCCUCAUUUGACUCCUGUCUUCUUCCCAUUUUGUCAGAAAAGGCACUUAGAAAAUUCUCAUUAAAUUGUUUUUACACUAUCCAAGGUCUCAGGUCAAUUAAUUCAGGCUUUUGUGCUCAUUUCUCUCUGAAGACUACCUGCUUCUUUUUAUUUUUCUUAUUUAAGAGUGUUAAGAGUAACCAGAGAACACAUUUCUAACCCCAAUAAGAAGUCUUAUCUUACUGUUUUGCUUUGUUUUGUUUUGCAUUUAAAGAGUUAUUUUUGCUGCUUUCUGUCCUUUCCCCUAUACUCUGACUUUUGCUUCUGUCAGGUUCUGUCUCCAGUCAAGCGGGGUGACAUUGGCCACCAUUUGCAGGAGAGAUGGAAACGGGUUGUGUUCCUUGAUUCACCAGUCGGUAGUUCCGGGCUGUCAGAUGUGGGGCAGCACAGGGUGGGGAGAGAGGAAUGAAGGGGGAAAUGAAGCCUCGAGUAGAACAGAGAAAGGCCACCCUCUCAGGGCGGCUGGACUGACUCUCCACACAGUUUCCCCCAUGCCAGGAGCUCUCCGGAGGCCCCAGGGAGCCUUUGGGCUGUGUGGAGGAGAGGAGGCUCUGAGUUGCAAGGACUGGCAGCUAUUGAAGCUCAAAAUGAAGCUAGGAGAGAAUUGGGGGUAAUGCCAACCUGAAAAUAUGGAGAGGACCUACCUACACUCCCUCCCCACUUCUCCUUUGCCCCCCACUUCCCUCCCCUUUAUAGAAGUUCUCUUAUUGAUUUUCUCGUGUCUUCUGGUUUUCUAGACUUGCUGUCAUCCAUCUCCUAUUAUAUUUAUUUACAACCCAUCUGAAGCUCUUCUUUACCUUCCCCUUAUUAUCCAUCUCUGUGGGUCUGCAAUGUGGAAAACCAAAUGGAUGAUAAAUGACUCUGGCUCAGAGCUGAGGCCUUCUGUCGAGUUCAUUUUUGGCCUCAGAGGCCACCGACAAUAGCAUUUGUAUCAUCUGUAUUUGUUUGGUCUCCCUUCCUGUUCCAACAGUGUUUAAUUUUUCAUGAUGAAUUUGUUUUGUCUCCUCUGUUUUCCCAUGAGCAUCACAGGGAGCCCAUUCUCUCCCCAGUCCUUCCUGCCAGGCCCCACCACCAAUGGUGUUCAGGAAAUAGGUUGAAGUGUUGAUGUAGCCUCUCAGCCACCACACAGGCUCCUUUCUAACUUUCUCUGCACAGUAGAAUUCUUUUAACUCAGGAUAGCAACACUGAAGAGGACAUGGUGGCUGGAACAGAUAGUAUUCCUCAAUAAUUGCUACCAGCCAUGCCAAAUGAAAAUACUCUAAAAUUUAAAGAAUACCUAUUUAGCAAAUAGUAUGUCAAGGAAGUCACUCAACGCUUAUCCCUCAACACCAUCAGCAUCUUGUCUCCUCCAUGGAAUUCCUGGCCUGGCCUGUGGUAUAAGAAGGUCUUUCUCACCAUUCUCCAAUUAAUCAUCUUCUUUACACAUUUAUCAAAUACAGAGUAACAGUGAAGUGUCAGGCACUUGGCAAGGAUCUGGUGACACACAGAAGAUAACCAUAUAGACCCUGUCUUUCAGGAGGUUAUGGCCUGGUCAGGAAGAGUACACAAAUGUAUUUAAAUAAAUAUUCCAUUAAAAUGUGUAGUUAGUUUGCUGUUGUUGUUUGGGAGAGGUUGAGGUUUUUGUUGUUGUUGUGUUUUUUUACUCUUUGGGGGCAUGCCACCCAGCUCUCAAAUAAAUACACAGAGACUUUUCUUACUUAUGAAUGCCUGGCCUUAGCUUGACUUAUUUCUAGCCAGCUUUUCUUAAAUUAUCCCAUCUACCUUUUGCCUCUGGGCUUUUACCUUUCUCUGUAUUUCUUUUUUUUUUUCCUUUUUACUCUGUGUUUGGCUGUGUAGCUAGGUAACUGGCCCCUGGCAUCCUCCUCUCCCCCCUUUCUUGUGCCUCACUCUUCUUCUUUUUCUUAGUUCUUCUCUCUGCCUGCUGGCCCAGCCUAUUUCUCUCUCCUGCCUAGCUAUUGGCUGUUCAGCUCUUUAUUAGACCAAUCAGAUGUUUUAGAAGGGCAAAGUAGCACAGCUUUACAGCGUUAAGCAAAUGUAACAUAAAAGAAUGCACAAAUCUUUGCAUCAUUAAACAAAUAUUCCACAGCAUAAAUGAAUGUAACACAUCUUAAACUAAUAUUUCACAACAAAAAUCCAUUUUGAUGAGUGCAUGGUGUGCUUUAAGCAAUGUUUUAAGUGCUGGAACCACAGCAACACUGGGGGGAAAUAGUCUAAUAUUGGAACAGAACUCUAAUUGAAACAUUCACCCACAGGCUCUCCGAGGAAGCAGUCUGUGUCUAGGUGUCUUAGUAAGUGGCCUUGGGAGUGAGAGCUGUGAGAAGAAGGAGAAAGUCAGAAUGGACACAGAAAAGUGGAGAGAAACUCAAUAGUAACAUUAGCUAAAAAUCCCACAGGAGCCAUAGCUGUCCUGACUGGAUCAAAAUAGCUGGGCUUUGCUAAGUCAUUGAGUGUGGGCCACAUCAGAAAGGAUUUCAUCUUGGAUGAAGUGACUCUUUGCCUCUGAGAGAGCUGAAAGGUAAAGACCACUGGCAGGCAGCCCUCCCAGUAACAGAAGCAACAACACCUCCAUUACAGCAAGAAUUGAGCAACUUACCCCCAUGUCCAUAAUAUGAGCAGCAUGGAGAAAGCAAGGUGAUAUGGGGGAUGCCCCUGCACACUGGUAUGUGCAUCCCCGACUCUCCCUGGGCUGAGUGGACUGAGCUUUAAGAGCACUCACUAGAGCCAGAAGAGAGGCUCUUACCAACAGACAAGCCCUGGCAGCAGCAAGCAUGCUCUAAAAUCUUAGGAGUUUCCUGCUGAUCUUUCUUCCUUACCUGCUAACCAAAUGCCCAAAUCACCAGGGAGUCCAGUGCUUUAUCCAAUUCUGCAUGCACCCAAUGGAAGGAGCCUGGGACCUUGAGUGACAGUGUGGAACAUGGUUCUUGCUUCUUCCGUCUUCACCCCUAAGCCAAUCAAUAGCACACCAUGACAUGAAGAAACAGACAUUUAAUUUUGUAUUCACUGAGCUUUGACAGCUAUUUGUUUCAGCAUUUCCCCUCCUUGAGUAAUACAAGAAUUUUGUUUUUCUUGGAGUGGAAAACUUCCUUUAAAACAGUGGUUUUCAACCUUCCUAAGGCCGUGACCCUUUAAUAUACAGUUCCUCAUGUUGUGGUGACCCCCACCACCACCAUAAAAUUAUUUUCUUAUUGCUUUAUAAGUGUAAUUUUGCCACUUUUAUAAAUAUCUGAUAUGUGACUCCUGUGAAAGGGUCUUUCAACACCCCCAGCAAGGGUCAAGACUCACAGGUUGAGAGCUUGUGAUGUAAAACAAUGACCAUAUGAAGCUGGCUAGAGAGGAGAGAUGGCAAACUAUGAAAUCGGGCAUCUGUGCUUGGAUAUUGGAUCCCAGGGCUGCCUGUCAUAACCUGGAAGUCAUCCAUGCCCAGGGGAAGAGCAUGGAAACAGAAAACAGAAUAUUGGCCCCAGUGCUGCCUGUGGACUGCAUCCAGCAAGACACCAAAAGAUAAAGGUAAAUGCAAUGAAGAACUAAUUGGAAGAACUAGUCUGUGAGAAGGAAAUGGAAUAGAAUCAGAAACAAAGGACCUCUCUUAGGACCCACUUCUCUCUUUGGGCUGCCUUUACCUCUCCAUACAAAAUGAAAUACUGUGUUAGUGAGGGGCCACUAACUAUUGUAAUAAUCUCCAAAUUGCAGAGACUCAUAACAAUAAAGAUUUCUUUCUCAGACACACAUUUUUUUGAGAGAGAGAGAGAGAGAGAGAGAGAGAGAGAGAGAGUGAGAGAAUGUGAUUGGGCUUCAUUGCACAUAAUCUGUCUUUCUUCUCAGCUAAGCACAGUCCUGAGGCAAAGAAAAAUCAUUUCAGGGACUACACCUUUCUACUAAGCCAGAGAAAGAGAACUCCAUGGUAGCCACCGUUAAGUUGAGAAAGAACAGCACUAGCAAGCCAAGCCAGCUUAGACGGGGUAGAGAAUUACAACUCAGAAGAAAAUUCUAUGUGCACUUACUACGUGGAAUUGGCUAGAAGGAAAUCUCCUAGAAGCCCAAGUUUUUGAAGGAGUUGUGUUGCCAAAGAAGCCAGGAGACUGUGUUUAAAGCUGUGGAUCAUCCAAUAUAUCCAAGGUUCCUAGCUUUGCCUGGAUGCAGGGGCUUGGGGGCUAUGCUUGUCCUCACUGGGGAUGGGAAGGGAAAAAGGAAGGGAGCAAGAGGAUGGACUGUGACCCAGACAGCUAAUGUCACCUAUUUUUCCCACUGCAAAUAUUGUACUAGUUAGCGCAGGUUGCUGAAAUGAAACAUUACAGCCUAAGUGUGUUAAACCAUAGACAUUGUCUUCUUAGUUUGGGAGGCCAGAAGUCAAAGGUGUAAGGGAUCACAAAGUGUGGUUUGUUCUAAUGUAUGGGCCUGUAGAUUGCCACUGGGAAAAUCGGAUGUGCCCUGAUCUUGAUUCUUCCACAGUAUGUAGAGCAGUG
ensembl:lncRNA